CAUGGCAUGCACCAUCAUAAAGGAGUACAUGGCUGCGAUCGGUUGUGAUGACCAAUUAUUUUCCAGUCACUGAGAGUCAUCAAUCAAUGAGAAGUUCCUACUCAUAGAGGCAAGCUGGACCAUCACCAAUGCAUCAGCCUACUGGAGAGAUUCGACAUGAGCCGAAGCUGACCUGGAUAUAGCCUGUUAUCCCAGCAACAAAAGGCUGCAACCAGGUGGCUGGCCAUGAAUCCUCUGAAAAUGAAAUAUUCUCCAAAACGCUGUUCCUGGUUGAUUUGUGGUGAGCAUAUGACUGUCCUUUGCAAUGAAUAUGGGAUUGGCGGAUACUUUUGUUGGGUCAAUGAUGAGGACUUUAUAUUGCCUUGAGGAGCGGUGAUGACUUAAAUAUCACGUACAAUGGCCUGACGCUGAGGCCCAGCCUAGGAGACAGUUGUGGAAACCAACAUGGAGAAGAUGAUGAUGGUCAGCAGUAUGAUCAUGUUUGUUGCUGGAGAACUUGAAGAACGAAAGAUCAUCUUGGGGAGCUCCACCACGUGAAUAUGCUCCUCCAUAAAAUUUCCCCAUGUUAUGCCUAUACUUUAAUCCUCAUCCCAGGUCCUGGGUAUUUUAGCAGCCCUUGCUGAGCACCCCAUCUCACUUUGUGUCUUUCAGUGGAAACUUCUGAUCAGUGUGGCUACAUGACAUGCACUGUCAUAUAGCAGUGCAUGGUUGCAAUCAGCUGUCAUGACCAAUGAUUUUCCAGUCACCAAGUGUCAUCAAUCAAUGAGGGGUUCUUACUCAUGAGGCAAGCUGGACCUUCACCAAUGUGUGAAGAUUUUCUCUCAAGGCCUGUGUAAAGCUGGACAAAAAGAAGACUCGAGAUGCUCUUGGUGCGUGCUUCGAGGAGGCCCAUGUUUCUUUUCCAAAUGGAGGGAGAAUAGAGUUUUGUCCUGCUCUACAUGAAUGAGAAUCAGGAUUUUUCAUAAUAGUAAACGUAUCUGUGGCUCAUGAUGUGAAUGGCCAUAUCCUCUGCUGGGCGUCUCUCUGAGUAUUUAGGGAGCUUGGAACAGGGGCACAGAGCAAAGAGAAUCCACCAGCCUCCUGAUGAGACAGUGCACACAAGUCAAAAAUGACUGUCCAACUUUUUUGAAACCACCAUCCUUCUUGAGAACUCAAGAUGUGAGAACACACUCAUGUCAAAUUGUUGGCAAAAUUCAUCAUAACCAACUUUGCCAUGAAAACCCAUCUUUGAAACUGAGGAACACUUUCCCACCUGAGAUACCAAGGGAGGAAUGUCCAAGUUAUAUCAAAAGUACCCUGACUGGACUUGAUUCCGCUCUUGGAGGAUCUUCUGUCUCAGCCUACUGGACGAAUUCAACACGAAUAGAAGCUGACCUGGAAAUAAGCUGCUAUACCAGCAACAAAGGACUGCAACCAGGUGGCUGGCCACGAAUCCUCUAAAAGUGAAAUAUUCUCCAAAAUGUUGUUCCUUGUUGACUUGUGGUAGACAUAUGACUGUCCUUGCAACAGAUAUGGGAUUGGUGGAUACUUUUGUUGGGUCAAUGAUGAGGACUUUAUAUUGCCUUGAAGAGCGGUGAUGACUUAAAUAUCAUGUACAAUGGCAUGAUGCUGAGACCCAGCCUAGGAGAGAGUUGUCAAAAAGAACAUGGGUCCUGGGCAUUUUAGCCUCCAGGCAGAGCACCCCAUCUCACUUUUUGUCAUUCAAUGGAAACAUCUGAUCAGCGUGCUGCAUUGCAUGCACCGUCAUAGAGGAGUGCAGACUGUGAUCAGUCAUCAGGACCAAUGAUUUUCCAGUCACUGAGGGCCAUCAAUCAAUGAGGAGUUCUUACUCAUGGAGGCAAGCUGGACCUUCACCAAUGCAUGCAGUUUUUCUCUCAAGGCCUGGGUGAAACUGUACAAAAAAGAGCCUCAAGAUACUCUUUGCGUGCUGUUCGAGGAGGUCCAUGUUUAUUUUCCAAAUGGAAGGAGAACAGAGUUUUGUCUGCUCUACAGAAACGAGAGAAUCAGGCUCGUUCAAUAAUAGUAAACAUAUCUGUGGCUCACGAGUUAAUGGCCAUCUCCUUUCCUGGGCAUCUUCUGAGUACUUAGGGAGCUUGGAAUAGGGGCAAAGAGCAAAGAGAAUCUACCGGCCUCCUGGUGAGAGAGGGCACGCAAAUCAAAAAUGACUAUCCAAAUUUUUGGAAACCACCAUCUUUCUUGAGAACUCAAGAUGUAAGAAAUGCCCCAUAACCAAGAUUUGCCACAAAACCCAAUCUUUGAGACUUAGGAACACUUUCCCAUCUGAGAUACCAGAAAGCCACAUCCAAGCUAUGUCAAAAGUACCCUGUAUGGACUUGGCUCUAGUCCUAGAGGACAUUCUGUCUCAACCUACUGGAUGGAUUCCA